CGUAGGCAGCGAGCGUUGUUCGGAGUUACUGGGCGUAAAGCGUGCGUAGGCGGUGCCAUAAGUCUGUUGUGAAAUCUCCCGGCUCAACUGGGAGGGUGCGGUGGAAACUGUGGUGCUGGAGUGUGGGAGAGGUAGGCGGAAUUCCUGGUGUAGCGGUGAAAUGCGUAGAUAUCAGGAGGAACACCUGCGGUGUAGACGGCUUACUGGACCACGACUGACGCUGAGGCACGAAAGCGUGGGGAGCAAACAGGAUUAGAUACCCUGGUAGUCCACGCCCUAAACGAUGCAUACUUGGUGUGGGCAAUUCAUUUUGUCCGUGCCGGAGCUAACGCGUUAAGUAUGCCGCCUGGGGAGUACGGUCGCAAGGCUG
rnacentral:rRNA from 1 species